GAUGAACGCUAGCGGGAGGCCUAACACAUGCAAGCCGAGCGGGAUUUGAUCGGUAGCUUGCUACCGAUUAAUGAGAGCGGCGUACGGGUGAGGAACACGUGUGCAACCUGCCUUUAUCAGGGAGAUAGCCUUUCGAAAGGAAGAUUAAUAUCCCAUAAUAUAUUAGAUGGCAUCAUUUGAUAUUGAAAGCUCCGGCGGAUAGAGAUGGGCACGCGCAAGAUUAGUUAGUUGGUGAGGUAACGGCUCACCAAGGCGACGAUUCUUUAGGGGGCCUGAGAGGGUGAUCCCCCACACUGGUACUGAGACACGGACCAGACUCCUACGGGAGGCAGCAGUGAGGAAUAUUGGACAAUGGGUGAGAGCCUGAUCCAGCCAUCCCGCGUGAAGGAUUAAGGUCCUAUGGAUUGUAAACUUCUUUUGUAUAGGGAUAAACCUGCCCUCGUGAGGGUAGCUGAAGGUACUAUACGAAUAAGCACCGGCUAACUCCGUGCCAGCAGCCGCGGUAAUACGGAGGGUGCAAGCGUUAUCCGGAUUUAUUGGGUUUAAAGGGUCCGUAGGCGGGUUUAUAAGUCAGUGGUGAAAGCCGGCAGCUCAACUGUCGAACUGCCAUUGAUACUGUAAGUCUUGAGUGUAUUUGAAGUGGCUGGAAUAAGUAGUGUAGCGGUGAAAUGCAUAGAUAUUACUUAGAACACCAAUUGCGAAGGCAGGUCACUAAGAUACAACUGACGCUGAUGGACGAAAGCGUGGGGAGCGAACAGGAUUAGAUACCCUGGUAGUCCACGCCGUAAACGAUGCUUACUCGUUUUUGGGUUUUAGGAUUCAGAGACCAAGCGAAAGUGAUAAGUAAGCCACCUGGGGAGUACGUUCGCAAGAAUGAAACUCAAAGGAAUUGACGGGGGCCCGCACAAGCGGUGGAUUAUGUGGUUUAAUUCGAUGAUACGCGAGGAACCUUACCAAGACUUAAAUGGGAAUUGACAGAUUUAGAAAUAGAUCCUCCUUCGGGCAAUUUUCAAGGUGCUGCAUGGUUGUCGUCAGCUCGUGCCGUGAGGUGUUAGGUUAAGUCCUGCAACGAGCGCAACCCCUGUCACUAGUUGCUACCAUUCAGUUGAGGACUCUAGUGAGACUGCCUACGCAAGUAGAGAGGAAGGUGGGGAUGACGUCAAAUCAUCACGGCCCUUACGUCUUGGGCCACACACGUAAUACAAUGGCAGGUACAGAGGGCAGCUACACAGCGAUGUGAUGCGAAUCUCGAAAGCCUGUCUCAGUUCGGAUUGGAGUCUGCAACUCGACUCUAUGAAGCUGGAAUCGCUAGUAAUCGCGCAUCAGCCAUGGCGCGGUGAAUACGUUCCCGGGCCU
rnacentral:rRNA from 1 species